UAUCGAGUUACCGCUCCUUAUAACCCUUUGUGAACAUACCCCAAACGUUGCCUCGGCGGGCAGCCGGAGCCCAGCUCCGGCGCCCGGAGCCGCCGUCUCGGCGCGCCCCACCCGCCGGCGGACCACUAAACUCUAUUUAAACGACGUCUCUUCUGAGUGGCACAAGCAAAUAAUCAAAACUUUUAACAACGGAUCUCUUGGUUCUGGCAUCGAUGAAGAACGCAGCGAAAUGCGAUAAGUAAUGUGAAUUGCAGAAUUCAGUGAAUCAUCGAAUCUUUGAACGCACAUUGCGCCCGCCAGCAUUCUGGCGGGCAUGCCUGUUCGAGCGUCAUUUCAACCCUCAAGCACCGCUUGGCGUUGGGGCCCUACGGCUUCCGUAGGCCCCGAAAUACAGUGGCGGACCCUCCCGGAGCCUCCUUUGCGUAGUAACAUACCACCUCGCACUGGGAUCCGGAGGGACUCCUGCCGUAAAACCCCCCAAUUUUCCAAAGGUUGACCUCGGAUCAGGUAGGAAUACCCGCUGAACUUAAGCAUAUCAAUAAGCGGAGGAAAAGAAACCAACAGGGAUUGCCUCAGUAACGGCGAGUGAAGCGGCAAC
rnacentral:rRNA from 1 species